AGCAACGUAACGUGUGUGUCUUUCUGAAUGCUGUUGCGGAGCUUUGCACAAGUAAUGGUUUUCUUUCUGGAUUUACUAUUUUGAUGUUCAGUUGCAUUAAAGACACAAACAACUAUAAGAAGAGGCAGCGAACACAGCAUACUUGUCUUGACAGAUAAGUCAACAAACGCCAACAUAACCCGGAGACGAUCGGAGGUUCUCCCAGUUUCAAACCUAUACCUAAAAUUAAGGUUCAAGCACGCUGUCCUUGUCACAGUCCUCAACUAUCUAGCCUAGUCUGUCCAGGGCAAAAGGUUAAUGAAUGGUCAGAGGUCAGUGUUAGCGGUGUCAGCGGUUUGGUACUGCAUAUCAACAGGUAACCGUACUCGCACUGUGGGUGCAAGCUGAUACUGGUAUACGUACCUCCAAAACAAAAUUAGACAAAAAUACAUUAUUAAUAUUUAACACUGACUAUGUUGUCUGUAAAUCACACAAUACUGACACAACAAACAGACCCAUAGCUGAGUAAACGAUGUGAUAUAAUUACAUAUAUAAUACGUGAAAUCGAUGCCUAAUACUCACCGUAUGAUA